AGGGUACUUUAAAUGUAUGAUGUGUACACAGUCUAUAUCUCUGGAUUUGGCCCUAAGAUUAUCUCAGCUUGAAGCGCAGCACAAUUUUUAAUCAGGAAAGGCUAGCCACACUCAUUUUUGCAACAAAGUAAGUAAUCCUUGUACAUUGGCCUGUAGUUUUUGAAGCUUAAAAAUAGGAAGUUCAAGGAGAAGUGAAUUUGAAUCAGCUUCAACAGCCUGGAGUAACCUUCCACCCCAUUGUAACCAUUUUGGUCACUGACCUUAGGUUUGAAAUAACUACUUUCCCUGCCCUCCCUUCCUCCAUCAUUCUUCUUUUCCCCUUCUUCUUCUCUUUGUGCUUAACACUGUUUCCAUAAUGGACAGGUUCUGCAAAUAGUGCCCCCUUCCUCUGCAGAUGCAAAUAUAAGUUUUGGGCUGGGGGGGGAUAACAAAUGUAGCACUGACUGCGUCUUUAACUUGAUAAGCACUCUGGGGAGGGGGUGGGGAGGGAGAAUCAAUUUCUGUUCCUAAGGUUAUUUUGUGGUGGGUGGGUGUGAGAGGGGCGCUCUCACAGAGCAACUGAGCGACAGCUUGAAACCGCACUAUUCCUUGAUCUCAGGGAAAAGAACAAGACAGGAGUCCCAAAUCCCAGCUGUGCAGAGCAAGGAUCAGAGCGCUAAUAAUAUGACUGUAAUGAUACAUGAGGGAGUCUUUUCCUGGUCUCAGAGAGUUCAGCAUUCCUUCAGAGAAAGCAGCUCCUGAAUCCCAAACAUCAUGUACACCUCUGGCUGGCUGCAGCGCCUGCUUUGUUACAUGGACUGUUUUCUUAUUUGGGGUGCAUGGUAUUAAUUCAGUUUGGAGUCGCAGAUGAUUUUCCUGCUAAUGAAGAAACACUGCAUGCGGUCAUCAGGAAAGGUGAGGCCGCCUUUGCUAGAGGACCUCAGGCAGAAUACAGCGUGAUUAUUCAUGAAGACCUCUGUGCCUGCAAAUACCCUUCUUGCCUUCUCUCCAGCGGGCCUCUUUCACCCCAUCUCUUGUCAAUUGCAUUUUAUUUUUUAACAUGAACAAAAAC